rnacentral:misc_RNA from 1 species
UUUCCGUAGGUGAACCUGCGGAAGGAUCAUUAUUGUAUAACCGAGGUGCGAGGGCUGUCGCUGACCCGAAAGGUCGUGCACGCCCGAGUGCCCUCACACGCAUCCAUCUCACCCCUAUGUGCACCACCGCGUGGGUCCCCCUUUGGCUUGUUCGGAGGGGGGCUUACGUUUUCACACAAACUUUGUAUGCAGUGUAGAAUGUAUUUUUUGUUUUUGCGAUCACGCAAUCAAUACAACUUUCAACAACGGAUCUCUUGGCUCCC